AUUGAACGCUGGCGGCAUGCCUUACACAUGCAAGUCGAACGGCAGCACGGUUGCUUGCACCUGGUGGCGAGUGGCGAACGGGUGAGUAAUACAUCUGAACAGGACCUGUCUUUGGGGAUAGCCCGGCGGAAGCCGGAUUAAUACCGCAACCGAUCUCCGGCUGAGAGCGGGGGCCCUGCAGGCCUCGCCCUUUAGCGUUGGCCGAUGGCUGAUUAGCUAGUUGGAGGGGUAAAGGCCUACCAAGGCGACGAUCAGUAGCUGGUCUGAGAGGACGACCAGCCACACUGGGACUGAGACACGGCCCAGACUCCUACGGGAGGCAGCAGUGGGGAAUUUUGGACAAUGGGCGAAAGCCUGAUCCAGCAAUGCCGCGUGUGUGAAGAAGGCCUUCGGGUUGUAAAGCCCUUUUGUCCGGAAAGAAAACCUUGGCGCUAAUACGGCCGGGGGAUGACGGUACCGGAAGAAUAAGCACCGGCUAACUACGUG
rnacentral:rRNA from 1 species